UUCCAAUGAUGAUUUCCAUCUAGCUCACUUUGAACAGUAAUGAAAAGGUGUGAACAACUGAGUGAC
ensembl:snoRNA SNORD29 Small nucleolar RNA SNORD29